GCGAAGGCAGCUUGCUGGACUGUAACUGACGNUGAGGCACGAAAGCGUGGGGAUCAAACAGGAUUAGAUACCCUGGUAGNCCACGCCGUAAACGAUGAAUGCUAGCUGUUAGCGAUAUACUGUUAGCGGCACAGAGAAAUCGUUAAGCAUUCCACCUGGGGAGUACGCCGGCAACGGUGAAACUCAAAGGAAUUGACGGGGGCCCGCACAAGCGGAGGAACAUGUGGUUUAAUUCGAUGAUACGCGAGGAACCUUACCUGGGCUUAAAUUGCAGUGGAAUAACGUGGAAACAUGUUAGCCUUCGGGCCGCUGUGAAGGUGCUGCAUGGUUGUCGUCAGCUCGUGCCGUGAGGUGUCGGCUUAAGUGCCAUAACGAGCGCAACCCUCAUCGAUAGUUACUAACAGGUUAAGCUGAGGACUCUAUCGAGACUGCCGACGUAAGUCGUGAGGAAGGUGGGGAUGACGUCAAAUCAGCACGGCCCUUACGUCCAGGGCUACACACGUGUUACAAUGGGGGGUACAAAGGGCAGCUACCUGGCGACAGGAUGCUAAUCUCAAAAACCUCUCUCAGUUCGGAUUGGAGUCUGCAACCCGACUCCAUGAAGCUGGAUUCGCUAGUAAUCGCGCAUCAGCCACGGCGCGGUGAAUACGUUCCCGGGCCUUGUACACACCGCCCGUCAAGCCAUGGGAGCCGGGGGGACCUGAAGUAUGCAACCGUAAGGAGCGUCCUAGGGUAAAACUGGUGACUGGGGCU
rnacentral:rRNA from 1 species